rnacentral:rRNA from 1 species
GAUGAACGCUGGCGGCGUGCCUAAUACAUGCAAGUCGAACGCUGGAAAUCUAGCUUGCUAGAUUGAAGGAGUGGCGAACGGGUGAGUAAUACAUAAGCAACCUACCCACGAAGACUGGGAUAAUCUCUGGAAACGGGGACUAAUACCGGAUAGGUAAUCGGAAGGCAUCUUCUGAUUAUUAAAGGUUAAAAACACUGGUGGAUGGGCUUAUGGCGCAUUAGUUAGUUGGUGAGGUAACGGCCCACCAAGACGAUGAUGCGUAGCCGGCCUGAGAGGGUGAACGGCCACAUUGGGACUGAGACACGGCCCAGACUCCUACGGGAGGCAGCAGUAGGGAAUUUUCGGCAAUGGGGGAAACCCUGACCGAGCAACGCCGCGUGAGUGAUGACGGCCUUCGGGGUGUAAAGCUCUGUUGUAAGGGAAGAACGGUAGAUAGAGAAUAUCUAAAUGACGGUACCUUACCAGAAAGCCACGGCUAACUACGUG